UACGUAGGGUGCAGGCGUUAAUCGGAAUUAUUGGGCGUAAAGGGCUCGUAGGCGGUUUGUCGCGUCGGCUGUGAAAACCCGCGGCUCAACUGUGGGCGGGCAGCUGAUACGGGCAGGCUGGAGUUCGGUAGGGGAGACUGGAAGUUCCUGGUGUAGCGGUGAAAUGCGCAGAUAUCAGGAGGAACACCGGUGGCGAAGGCGGGUCUCUGGGCCGAUACUGACGCUGAGGAGCGAAAGCGUGGGGAGCGAACAGG
rnacentral:rRNA from 1 species